ensembl:lncRNA
CGAUGACAAAGACCACCAUCUGUUCCCUUCCUUGUGGGUUCUUGUCAGCCUCGCUGGGAGCUGGUGGGGACCCUAGACUCCCCACCAUGGACCCACCAGGGCCCCCAUCAUGGACCCAGCAGGGUCCCCAGCAAGGGACACACCAGGGGGCCAACCAUGGACUCAUCACAGUCCCUACCGUGGACCUACCAUGGACCUACCAUGGACCUACCAUGGACCUACCAUGGACCUACCAUGGACCUAACAUGGACCUAACAUGGACCUACCAUUGACCUAACAUGGACCUACCAUGGCUUGCAUUCCUGGAAGCCAGGAAUGCCUUUCAGAGUUCACAGUGAACACAAAUGUGAGAGGAUAAGGUGUAAAGAAGAAGGAGAAGAAGGAGAAGAAGGAGGAGGAGUAGUAGAAGAAGCAGAAUUUAGUUUUGUUUGUUGGCUGGAAGGACCGAUACCUACCAGCAUAGCGGAGAAGAGCUGUGUUCCUCCUCUGAUCACGUGACUGCCAAACAGUCACUUUGCUGAUGCUUCUGUGGUGAAUGGUCUUUUGAAAGUCAGCCGUCACUGUCCUUAGAGACCAACAUAGCAGUGAGACAGAGCAGAGCAGAAGGAAACACCAUGCCUCAGAGAAUGAGACAGAGAUGGG